rnacentral:siRNA from 1 species
GAAGGCUGAUGUGGACACCUUGAG